GAGCUAGCAUCAGAACCUACAGUCUCAUCAUAGAAACAUCUAGACACUCUAGAUAAGGGGUUCAAAUGGUAUUAGAGGACUCACAAGCUUUCCUCUUUCCUGUCUCAACCUCUCAGUUCUUCUAAGAGUUCAUACAAUUUCACCUGAGUAGGAUCUCAUAGGAACCACUUGAAUUACUGUCCAAUCCUGGAUCUACCACGUUGGCCAGGAGUAGAGAGUAAAAAUAAAAAAUACUCUGAUUGACCAGCCUGGGUCAUGUUUCCAUCCUGAAAGCUGAAGGCAGUCCCUAUGGCCUGUAGGAAGAAGUGAAGGUGAGCGUGAAGUGAAAAGGAAUAAGCUGACUGAUCAGGCCUGGCUCAUCAUCUACACCUGAAAUCCAAGGUUCAGACUGUAUCCAAACACAUGGUUCCAAGGAUUGAGUGAAGAAGAGGAGGCCUCCCAAGGACCAUGUACCAUUGCGACGAUCUGUCCAAAGUUGGAAGGGGCAAUGGAUAUGGGGAUUUUAUUAGCGAUUUAUCAAUAAAAGUGAAGAUUUCUGUCCUCAGGUGUUCACUCUAGGAAUUUACUUGCUAGUUUGAGGAUAAAAUGGCCUGAAUUUUAGCAGGGUCCAAAUGAGAGGGUGUUUUUGUUGGAUCACAUUCAAGCAUGAGCAGUGAGCUGACUUGAAUAUUCACGGUACGUUUCCGUGCAUCUGUUCUAAUAAUGGAGACUCAUUUGCAUUUAGAAAAAAUGAUUUGCAUAUAGACAAUUAAUGUAAUAAGGUAUCCAAAAACAAUUUUUCCCCUUUGAAUAAGCUGCCUUGUAAUUUUGUUCACUUAAUUCACUUCCAUACUAAGCCCUUUGUUUACAGAUAAUGAAAAGGUGAAUUUCAGCUGAACUAGAAGGAAUUCACAGCAUUUCGGUUACAUAGGCUUCUCGUAUUGUUGUUCACCCAUCUCAGGAAAGCACUCAGGGAGGGCAAGGGGGCUGUCCACUCUGUCUAGCGGAAGAGUUCUCAAACUUGAGCACGCAUCAGAAUCGCCUGAAAGCUUGGUGAAGCACAUUGCCCGGCCUCAUCCCCAGAGUACCCAGAGUAGGUCAGGGUAGGGGCCAGAUAAUUUACAUUUAAAA
rnacentral:lncRNA from 1 species